CCUACGGGAGGCAGCAGUGGGGAAUAUUGGACAAUGGGCGAAAGCUGGAUCCAGCAAUGCCGCGUGAGUGAUGAAGGCCUUAGGGUUGUAAAGCUCUUUUACCAGGGAUGAUAAUGACAGUACCUGGAGAAUAAGCUCCGGCUAACUCCGUGCCAGCAGCCGCGGUAAU
rnacentral:rRNA from 1 species